UUGCUGGGCGGAUUAUUGGCGAACGGGUGAGUAAUACGUGAGUAACCUGCCCUUGACUCUGGGAUAAGCCUGGGAAACUGGGUCUAAUACUGGAUACUACCUCUUGCCGCAUGGUGGGUGGUGGAAAGGGUUUUACUGGUUUUGGAUGGGCUCACGGCCUAUCAGCUUGUUGGUGGGGUAAUGGCUCACCAAGGCGACGACGGGUAGCCGGCCUGAGAGGGUGACCGGCCACACUGGGACUGAGACACGGCCCAGACUCCUACGGGAGGCAGCAGUGGGGAAUAUUGCACAAUGGGCGGAAGCCUGAUGCAGCGACGCCGCGUGAGGGAUGACGGCCUUCGGGUUGUAAACCUCUUUCAGUAGGGAAGAAGCGAGAGUGACGGUACCUGCAGAAGAAGCGCCGGCUAACUACGUGCCAGCAGCCGCGGUAAUACGUAGGGCGCAAGCGUUGUCCGGAAUUAUUGGGCGUAAAGAGCUCGUAGGCGGUUUGUCGCGUCUGCUGUGAAAGCCCGGGGCUCAACCCCGGGUCUGCAGUGGGUACGGGCAGACUAGAGUGCAGUAGGGGAGACUGGAAUUCCUGGUGUAGCGGUGAAAUGCGCAGAUAUCAGGAGGAACACCGAUGGCGAAGGCAGGUCUCUGGGCUGUUACUGACGCUGAGGAGCGAAAGCAUGGGGAGCGAACAGGAUUAGAUACCCUGGUAGUCCAUGCCGUAAACGUUGGGCACUAGGUGUGGGGGACAUUCCACGUUUUCCGCGCCGUAGCUAACGCAUUAAGUGCCCCGCCUGGGGAGUACGGCCGCAAGGCUAAAACUCAAAGGAAUUGACGGGGGCCCGCACAAGCGGCGGAGCAUGCGGAUUAAUUCGAUGCAACGCGAAGAACCUUACCAAGGCUUGACAUUCACCGGACCGCCCCAGAGAUGGGGUUUCCCUUCGGGGCUGGUGGACAGGUGGUGCAUGGUUGUCGUCAGCUCGUGUCGUGAGAUGUUGGGUUAAGUCCCGCAACGAGCGCAACCCUCGUUCUAUGUUGCCAGCACGUGAUGGUGGGGACUCAUAGGAGACUGCCGGGGUCAACUCGGAGGAAGGUGGGGAUGACGUCAAAUCAUCAUGCCCCUUAUGUCUUGGGCUUCACGCAUGCUACAAUGGCCGGUACAAAGGGUUGCGAUACUGUGAGGUGGAGCUAAUCCCAAAAAGCCGGUCUCAGUUCGGAUUGAGGUCUGCAACUCGACCUCAUGAAGUCGGAGUCGCUAGUAAUCGCAGAUCAGCAACGCUGCGGUGAAUACGUUCCCGGGCCUUGUACACACCGCCCGUCAAGUCACGAAAGUUGGUAACACCCGAAGCCGGUGG
rnacentral:rRNA from 1 species